AGGCAGAGGAGCUGGCCCUGAGCCAGAAUUUUGGAAGGCCAGCGACUGAGGGAAUCCCUGGAGGGAGCUCAUCCUCUGAGCCCACCCCCCAAGACACAAGUGCCUUUAUAACAUAUUCUGAUGGUGCUAUCUGCCUGGUGGAGCCCCCUCACGCCACAACAGACCUUGUAACUUUAAGUAGGCAAUACUCCUAAAUAUUUAGCCAAAUGGUGGUUUAAGUAUACUGAGACAUAUCACUCAUCUUGGAUGAAGAGUACGAGGAGACUUUGUCUGCUGCCUUCACAGAGGGGGAACCAGAAAGGCCUAUAGAGGGCAUGGCUGGGCAGCAGCAGGAGGGUCCCUCAACUUCAACUGCACAGAUUGACACAUUACCAGUGAAAGACAUCUAUAAAAUAUUUCUUCUGAAAAAAAUAGAGAA